rnacentral:tRNA from 1 species
AAAAGAUUAAUAAAAAAAUUAUAUUAGCUUGUCAAGCUAAAUUUGUAGUAUCUUCAUCUUUUA